UGCUCGUGCCUGUGCGAGGCAAGAGGAAAGGGUGAGCGAUUUCAGGAUGCCACAGUAAAACUGAUGGAUUCAUCCCCAGGGCUCUGCUGGACUGCGAUUUCUGACACAUCAGCUGUGGAAAUCCAGGGUAAUUUUGCCGAAGCCUUUCCAGAUAUCCGCCUGUGUGAAUGAGACCAGGAUCUGGCCUGGCUGCUUUAAAGAAACACUGCCCAGUCAUUGAGCUCCAAGAUGCAUGUUUUUGCCUUCUGCUGCUUUUAGCAAAUGUUAUAUGCAGUAUUCGUACAAGGCAUUUCUUCCUGUUAAAUGAAAAGUMUCUUUUUUUAGAAAUGCUCCUGCAGUGCUGGAAACUACGGUGUUUCUUUCGGUGAGAGAGGUCAUGAGACCCUCAGGAAGCUGGGGAGCUGAUCCCCCUCUCCGUGCCCGCUGGAAAGGCAACGGCGGGUUGGGACCGACCCUGCAGCAGCUCCAGCAGCUGGAGCCUCAGGCUGCCUGAUUUAAGGCACUAACAUUAGCACAGGUAAUAAAAACCUUUCCUACAUAGAUAUAUGUAUGGCAUAUGUGUACAUAUAAAUGCACUUGCAAUAUCUGUCUAUAUAGUAAAAUACUCUGCUAUAUAUCUGUGUUUGUAUUGAUGUAAAAUAUUCCUUUCAGCACUUCUUUCAGCUCAUCACGGAACAAACACUGGAGAUACAGAUUUAUUUUCUGCCGUGCCUCUCUCCCUCCCCUCUCUCAGGCUGAAACAGGGACUGCUGCCGCAGCCUUUUCUCCCGGACGGGACCCUCACCCGGGUGAGCGACUCCCUGGGCUUUUUGGGAGCUCCUGGCUGAGCAGCCGCCCUGGCCCCGGUCUCCAGGCUGCCUGCCCGGGUGCUGCUGCGGGCUGUCCAUGCCGGAGCGCCUCGCCAGCUCGGAGCUAACGACGUGGCAGCAGCAGGAUGAGCAAAUAUUCGAAGAGAACAACGAGACCACUAACCUCCUUCAACCUGUGAUCUUGGACACGGAUUUUGCCAUUAUUCCAAAAGGGGAAGAACAUGUGCUCCAGCCCGCCCAGACUGCCUGGCUCCCUCUGUUCAGUUCAUAUCUAGAUGACUGCAGAUGUGCCUCGUGCAGUUCUCCUGUGAGCUCCCCGUACAAUAAUCAAGUGCAGUGACCAGAAAGGUCUCUCACUGCAGCUCCAUUAACAUAAGCUCCCUACUGUGAUUCUGAAGAGUCCCCAGAUGCGUAAAUGCCAUUAUUUUGUAUUGACUAACCCAGCAUCAGGAGAGGCAUGGGGGAUGGAGRGAAGAGAACAGCAAACAAAAUAGUGCACAGCUUCAAACAGGCUGUUUCAAAUGACAUGAGUCAUCCAGGGGCCUCGUAACCCACCUUGGGYCAUGCCCUUUGGAGGACAGUACCUCCUUCUGUAGUGCAGGACUUCCCCAACCCAAGUAACUUUUCCACUUUGAAAAAUAAACGAGGAGGUGGGCUUCCUUCUGCUUUCCA
rnacentral:lncRNA from 1 species